AGAGUUUGAUCCUGGCUCAGGAUGAACGCUAGCGGCAGGCUUAACACAUGCAAGUCGAGGGGCAGCAUAAUGGAUAGCAAUAUCUAUGGUGGCGACCGGCGCACGGGUGCGUAACGCGUAUGCAACCUACCUUUAACAGGGGGAUAACACUGAGAAAUUGGUACUAAUACCCCAUAAUAUCAUAGAAGGCAUCUUUUAUGGUUGAAAAUUCCGAUGGUUAGAGAUGGGCAUGCGUUGUAUUAGCUAGUUGGUGGGGUAACGGCUCACCAAGGCGACGAUACAUAGGGGGACUGAGAGGUUAACCCCCCACACUGGUACUGAGACACGGACCAGACUCCUACGGGAGGCAGCAGUGAGGAAUAUUGGUCAAUGGACGCAAGUCUGAACCAGCCAUGCCGCGUGCAGGAUGACGGCUCUAUGAGUUGUAAACUGCUUUUGUACGAGGGUAAACGCAGAUACGUGUAUCUGUCUGAAAGUAUCGUACGAAUAAGGAUCGGCUAACUCCGUGCCAGCAGCCGCGGUAAUACGGAGGAUCCGAGCGUUAUCCGGAUUUAUUGGGUUUAAAGGGAGCGUAGAUGGAUGUUUAAGUCAGUUGUGAAAGUUUGCGGCUCAACCGUAAAAUUGCAGUUGAUACUGGAUAUCUUGAGUGCAGUUGAGGCAGGCGGAAUUCGUGGUGUAGCGGUGAAAUGCUUAGAUAUCACGAAGAACUCCGAUUGCGAAGGCAGCUUACUGGACUGUAACUGACGCUGAUGCUCGAAAGUGUGGGUAUCAAACAGGAUUAGAUACCCUGGUAGUCCACACAGUAAACGAUGAAUACUCGCUGUUUGCGAUAUACAGUAAGCGGCCAAGCGAAAGCGUUAAGUAUUCCACCUGGGGAGUACGCCGGCAACGGU
rnacentral:rRNA from 1 species